AGCCUCCAAGGUAGCCCGGGUUCCUGUUCUGUGGGACAGGGAAACCGGCCGGGGCUGGCCCCCCUUCCCUUCCUUUCCGGUCGUCCAGCUUCUGUGGAUGCCGGCUAAGGGCAAGUCCUUUUUCCAGACCUGUUGAGCCUGUUGGGGGUCAUCCUCUUUUCUGGACAUGGGGAAGGGUCCUAAAAAGACUGAAGGACGGACGUGUGUGAUGAUCCAUCCAGCUUCUACAGACACCAGUGCACGGGGAAAUGACAUUAGACUGCAUGAUGUGAAACAGCUCGGCUUGUUUUCUUGUUCAGAGAGCUAGAAUAAAGGUUUAGAACAUUA